rnacentral:lncRNA from 1 species
CGCAGCACCGCCGGGCGCCCGUCGGGCUCUGGGAGAGAGCGAGGGAGAAAUCCGGUUAAAAUCAGAGUCGGAGGGAGGUUUAACCACAGAUCGGUUCCGAUCGGAUUAUUCCUUAAAGGGGACGCGCCAUUGUCAAGAGAACAGAGCCAGGGGCCCGAGGGCGGGGACCGGCGGCGCUGGAGGAGCGAGGCAGCUGCACUUGGACUGGGGACGGAAUUUAGAAAAUGAAGAUACUCAGAAACAUAUUCUUUGGGCUCAAGUGAUCACCUCAGCCUCUGGAGUAGCCGGGAAUACAGGUGGGCACUACUGUGGCUAGCUAAUUUUUUUUUUUUUUUUUUUUUUUUUGGUAGAGAUAGUGGUUUCACUUUAUUUUUUAGGUGGAUGGCUGGUCUCCAGC